AAAAACAUUAGAGAGCAGUGUGGUAUUCUACAGAUUGUGAUAAAAAUAGUCUGUGAAGGAAAAAUUAAAGUGAGCGAUAUUUUAGUAAAGUAGAAGUCAAAAGGGGAUUAUUUCUUUUGAGUGUGUGGUAGUCACUUUGAGUAUUGUAUUUGUGACUACGGUGUAAAAUUUCUUACAUAAUAAUAUCAGUUGCUCCUCUUGGUCUGUGGUUUUUUCCCUUAUUUAGAAGGGUUUCACGUAAAAUUCUUGGUGUCAUUAUUUUCAUUUAUUUUCUCUAUUAUUUUUCCACAAAUACUUUUGUUGUUAUUCCACGUUUACCCAAUAAACUGGUAUCAAAGCCCAAGGUUUGCAAUAUCUGUAUUUUUUGGUAAACAAUGGAAGCCAACACAAGUAGAAUGAUUACUUUAAAUGGCGUUAAUUAUGCCAUUUGGAAGGGGAAAAUGGAAGAUCUGCUCUAUGUCAAGAAUUUUUAUCAGCCGGUCUUUGACACUAUAAAAUCUAAAAAUACUAAGAUGAUAUACAGGAUACUUACGGACUGGACCAUGACUUAAUAGCUGAAUAUGAAACUGAUGCAUGAUGCAUGAUGCAUGUACUGAACUGAAUUUUGCAAUCUACUUGGAUACGAACAAACUAUCUCUUGAAAUGGUCAUACUCAAAAAAUUUUAGGUAGUGAGACUAGACUAAAUCAGAAGAUGUAAACUGAAUUUCUGGCUGCACGGACUGAAUCAUGCUGAAUGCUCUCCCCCAAAUUGGUUAUUUAUUCAACACCUUUCUAAGAAAUUUCUAAGGCCAUUAGGGAGUAAGGGACUCUGGGCAUGAUCUGAACAAGACCUCAGAAUAAGGAAUUACAACAUUGCUCUAAAUAUAGCAUGAAACAUAGACCUGUACAUUAUAUGCUAGGAUAGAAUUUCUAGGUCAUAGGCAAUGCAACUUCGUACUUUCAAACUUAGCCACUCUUCUCGAAUAAUCCCUCACUAUACUAUUCCCAUCAAAUACCAUACUCCCUUGAUUUAACUUCUAAUUCUCACAUGGGCAUUGAUAAACCUAUCUACUAAGGUCUAAAAUAAACAUAGUCCUCUCACCAUAAUCAAGCCUAACUCAAAAUUUUCGGGUACUACAUAUGACACCAUAACUGACUGGACUAUCGAUGCGAUAUGUGACGCAUCGCGUUGCCCCCUACCAACGUGAGAUACGAUGCAUCGUGGCCAUAUCGCAUUACCUCACUAUUUUUAGCUCACCCAAAAAAUCUAAAACCUACACGAGAUGUGCUAUUGA
rnacentral:lncRNA from 1 species